rnacentral:rRNA from 1 species
GAUGAACGCUAGCGGCAGGCUUAACACAUGCAAGUCGAGGGGUAGAAGUUUUCGGACUUUGAGACCGGCGCACGGGUGCGUAACGCGUAUGCAAUCUACCUUUUACAGAGGGAUAGCCCAGAGAAAUUUGGAUUAAUACCUCAUAGCAUUAUGAAAUGGCAUCGUUUUAUAAUUAAAGUUCCAACGGUAAAAGAUGAGCAUGCGUCCCAUUAGCUAGUUGGUGUGGUAACGGCACACCAAGGCAAUGAUGGGUAGGGGUCCUGAGAGGGAGAUCCCCCACACUGGUACUGAGACACGGACCAGACUCCUACGGGAGGCAGCAGUGAGGAAUAUUGGACAAUGGGCGCAAGCCUGAUCCAGCCAUGCCGCAUGCAGGAUGACGGUCCUAUGGAUUGUAAACUGCUUUUAUACGGGGAGAAACCCUGGCUCGUGAGCCAGAUUGACGGUACCGUAGGAAUGAGGAUCGGCUAACUCCGUGCCAGCAGCCGCGGUAAUACGGAGGAUCCAAGCGUUAUCCGGAAUCAUUGGGUUUAAAGGGUCCGUAGGCGGUUUUAUAAGUCAGUGGUGAAAUCCGGUAGCUCAACUAUCGAACUGCCAUUGAUACUGUAGAACUUGAAUUGUUGUGAAGUAACUAGAAUAUGUAGUGUAGCGGUGAAAUGCUUAGAUAUUACAUGGAAUACCAAUUGCGAAGGCAGGUUACUAACAUCAUAUUGAUGCUGAUGGACGAAAGCGUGGGGAGCGAACAGGAUUAGAUACCCUGGUAGUCCACGCCGUAAACGAUGGAUACUAGCUGUUCGGUAGCAAUACUGAGUGGCUAAGCGAAAGUGAUAAGUAUCCCACCUGGGGAGUACGAACGCAAGUUUGAAACUCAAAGGAAUUGACGGGGGCCCGCACAAGCGGUGGAGCAUGUGGUUUAAUUCGAUGAUACGCGAGGAACCUUACCAGGGCUUAAAUGUAGAUUGACAGACUUGGAAACAGGUUUUUCUUCGGACAAUUUACAAGGUGCUGCAUGGUUGUCGUCAGCUCGUGCCGUGAGGUGUCAGGUUAAGUCCUAUAACGAGCGCAACCCCUGUUGUUAGUUGCCAGCGAGUAAUGUCGGGAACUCUAACAAGACUGCCGGUGCAAACCGCGAGGAAGGUGGGGAUGACGUCAAAUCAUCACGGCCCUUACGUCCUGGGCUACACACGUGCUACAAUGGCCGGUACAGAGAGCAGCCACUGGGCGACCAGGAGCGAAUCUAUAAAACCGGUCACAGUUCGGAUCGGAGUCUGCAACCCGACUCCGUGAAGCUGGAAUCGCUAGUAAUCGGAUAUCAGCCAUGAUCCGGUGAAUACGUUCCCGGGCCU